AAGUGGUACCAUUGUCAUGUAGUCGACAAAUGUUCGAAUGAUAUCGAUAUCAUCGAAAUCGAGCAGCGGAUAAUCAGAUGAUGUUCCGUAGUCUGCAGACAGCUAUGCAAUUAUGCUGCAAAUGUGAUGCCUCAACAUCUAUCCUUAACUGUGCUUGUGGAGCGAUUGGGAUACAUGAUAUUCUUCGCAAGCAGUUUUGCACAAAAUUAACGACAGACCAACGCAUCGCAACGGACUAUGUCUCGGAGGAAUAGAACAAACGUCACGCGAUAGGUAUGUAAUCAGAAGUACAUCAGCUGCUCCAUCCACAGCAACCCGCGCUCUCCAGAUCUCAAAUGCGAAUACGAACGAAAGCGAAAACCUAAUUAUUAUCAAUAGGUCAUAGAUUUAUACAGAAGGGUUUACAUAGUCGUAUUAGCAAAGCAGAAGAAGUGAAUAGUGCCAAGCUUGUAAUGCACAGUAGACUGCAUUGGACUGUUCAUGUUGCACGAAUCCCAGAAGAACGACAAGCAAAGAACCCGGACGAGGCCUCAGAAUGUAGCUGGCCCUUCGAAUGAAUCAAGGAAGUAUCGUCGGUGCUCUCCCUCUUCUAAGUAUGCUCUUGAGCGACUGGUAAUAUCCACAGUAUAUGCGAAUCAGCUCUUUCAAUUGUCAAAAUCCCUUUUAAAGACUAAAAGAACCACGAAACACGAACAAAAAGUUCAUCGAUUCCACAAGCUCUCUGCGACGACGAAGAGUCUAGCGAAGUGAUGGAACACCCAGUAUAAUAUUAAAGAUAUGAAAAAAGGGAUCUUUUACGGGAGAAAAGCGCGGUGUGAUGUAGCAGUCUUACCACACAAGAAACCUGGAAUCUCUAAUGGAUUGAUGGUACAAGCCAAAACGUGCAAGGAUUAGCUAUUUUUGAUAACGAAUGUGAGGUGAUCGAUAGUUGAAAACAAUGAUGUUCAUUUGAAUAGCACUGAGGACACUUGCUCAGGGCAGAUAAAAGCAACAGAGUUGCUAGUAAGAAAUGUAUCGGAGUUGAACUCAUCAAAAUACCGUAUUAGAUCCAGCAAUAAUGUUUGGUUCCCGGAUGUUACGGACAUUGUAGCCUUGUAGGUCGAAUAGGAGCACAGGCAGUGCAUUUGGCGUGUGGUGAGAUUUCCGGAUAACAUCCCUGCAAAAGUAGUGUUUCCAUCUGAUUCGACCGGUACAAAAAUAUGUGAAUCGCAGAGAAUUGGAUUUUUUGUAGUAGCGACCAUGGACAGUGUUUGUUGACAACGUAUUGUUUGCGUUGUUCUUUCAAGAUAAUUGACGUAAUUACAGCAAUAAAUCACUAAGAAAUUGUCUGCUUCUAUUUAAGGAAAUUCCUACUUUCAAAAAGAAUACGUAGCUAUAAGCAUAAAAACAAUAUACAUAAAACUAAACACAUUUCAGAAAGCACCAGAAGGCCGUUGUACUGUAACUUUCCCUUUCCUCUUUCUGUUGAGGGUUUCGAUGAUAACCUAAUAAUGAAAGGAUUGUCAAGCUUCCUGCACCCAGGAAAGUUUACCAACUCCGAUGGGCAUGUAUAAACAGACAUGCACGCACGGAUACCGUAGAAAGGUGCGAUCAAAAUAGUUUAAUCGAUAACAUGUCUUAUCAUACGGAGCUAGUGGGUGUCGUCGUCUCUGUCUCUCUAAUGGUUUUCAUAUCUGUUUUGAUAUUCGAAUUGUCGUUGACCCAUCGGAAUUUGGAGCAUGGGUAUUUAAGGCAAUGGCAUUUGCUCCGGCUCCAUGAGGUAGAGUGCAUUCAACUUGUCGUAUGGUAGGACUUGGAUGUUGAUUAAGCUAUUUUUCGCAACAUGCUUGUUAUAUCGAUGGAGAACAAACUAUCUGACGGAAAUGGUUAGAAUGGAUUUGUUUUAUGAGGAUUGUACACCGUUGUUGAGCAUAGUUCACCAGCAAGGCCAAGUUCAUCGGAGGAUACUUUGUUCGAUAAAAUCCAUCUCUAGUCGAUAAGAACUCGGAAGCUAGAAACACAAUCAUACACUGACCAGUGCAGCAGAGGAAAAACAAGCAAACUGGAUGUCAUCAUCAGUGCGUCUAUUGUACCGUUUCUGCAUAUUGUGUGUUUCUGCAUUUUACCCUUUCAAAUAAGAUGACAUCCAGCGUUGGUGUUUAGAUUAUGAUGCAUUGAUGGGCGUUCAAAUCUAUUGAUUGAAUAAAAAAUACAAUGCAGUGCUUCAUGGAUUAGCUAGGUGCACAUAAAUCUAGCCAGAUAGAGUACCUCUCGAACAACAGUUACGGAAUUGAUGAAAGCCAACAAACCUGGACAUAUAAAGGCUUUCGUACAGUAUCCCCCAGUUCUAAACAUGAGUAAACAGGAUUUUUGACCAUCUCUGUCUUUCUUUUCCCUAUUGCUUUUUCCACAAAUGAUUAAUGGUAGUUAUAGCAUGCUGGCGAUCUACUACAAAAUUCUACAGUCCCAAUAUCUGUUCCACACAUUUCGCAGCCCACACGCGGAUGACUAUCAUUGAUCUCCAUUGUAAAGUAUUCAAACAACGAAACAAGUAAUCUCUCCCAGUGAUUUGUCUUUUGUGCUUCAGAUGCAAAAGAAACGUAUGGUCAAACACCCUGUCAAUAAUCGAAUACCUUCUUCUUUUUAUGUUACUUCUUUCUCAAUUUAAAAAAAAACUGAAAUCAAACAAAAACAUUGAAAAACACA